rnacentral:rRNA from 1 species
AUGAACGCUAGCUACAGGCUUAACACAUGCAAGUCGAGGAGCAUCAGGAAGAAAGCUUGCUUUCUUUGCUGGCGACCGGCGCACGGGUGAGUAACACGUAUCCAACCUGCCCUUUACUCGGGGAUAGCCUUUCGAAAGAAAGAUUAAUACCCGAUGGCAUAAUGAUUCCGCAUGGUUUCAUUAUUAAAGGAUUCCGGUAAAGGAUGGGGAUGCGUUCCAUUAGGUUGUUGGUGAGGUAACGGCCCACCAAGCCUUCGAUGGAUAGGGGUUCUGAGAGGAAGGUCCCCCACAUUGGAACUGAGACACGGUCCAAACUCCUACGGGAGGCAGCAGUGAGGAAUAUUGGUCAAUGGGCGCUAGCCUGAACCAGCCAAGUAGCGUGAAGGAUGAAGGCUCUAUGGGUCGUAAACUUCUUUUAUAUAAGAAUAAAGUGCAGUAUGUAUACUGUUUUGUAUGUAUUAUAUGAAUAAGGAUCGGCUAACUCCGUGCCAGCAGCCGCGGUAAUACGGAGGAUCCGAGCGUUAUCCGGAUUUAUUGGGUUUAAAGGGAGCGUAGGUGGACUGGUAAGUCAGUUGUGAAAGUUUGCGGCUCAACCGUAAAAUUGCAGUUGAUACUGUCAGUCUUGAGUACAGUAGAGGUGGGCGGAAUUCGUGGUGUAGCGGUGAAAUGCUUAGAUAUCACGAAGAACUCCGAUUGCGAAGGCAGCUCACUGGACUGCAACUGACACUGAUGCUCGAAAGUGUGGGUAUCAAACAGGAUUAGAUACCCUGGUAGUCCACACAGUAAACGAUGAAUACUCGCUGUUUGCGAUAUACAGUAAGCGGCCAAGCGAAAGCAUUAAGUAUUCCACCUGGGGAGUACGCCGGCAACGGUGAAACUCAAAGGAAUUGACGGGGGCCCGCACAAGCGGAGGAACAUGUGGUUUAAUUCGAUGAUACGCGAGGAACCUUACCCGGGCUUAAAUUGCAGUGGAAUGAUGUGGAAACAUGUCAGUGAGCAAUCACCGCUGUGAAGGUGCUGCAUGGUUGUCGUCAGCUCGUGCCGUGAGGUGUCGGCUUAAGUGCCAUAACGAGCGCAACCCUUAUCUUCAGUUACUAACAGGUCAUGCUGAGGACUCUGGAGAGACUGCCGUCGUAAGAUGUGAGGAAGGUGGGGAUGACGUCAAAUCAGCACGGCCCUUACGUCCGGGGCUACACACGUGUUACAAUGGGGGGUACAGAAGGCAGCUAGCGGGUGACCGUAUGCUAAUCCCAAAAUCCUCUCUCAGUUCGGAUCGAAGUCUGCAACCCGACUUCGUGAAGCUGGAUUCGCUAGUAAUCGCGCAUCAGCCACGGCGCGGUGAAUACGUUCCCGGGCCUUGUACACACCGCCCGUCAAGCCAUGGGAGCCGGGGGUACCUGAAGUACGUAACCGCAAGGAUCGUCCUAGGGUAAAACUGGUGACUGGGGCU